AUGAUUACCGUGCUAUGCAACUUCCAUUCGCCAGGGGGGACUGUGUUUACACAUCAUACCAUGGGUUUCAUGAAUCACCAUAUCCAGAGAUUCGUCGACACAGCUUGUUGCGAGAUAUCUUCAGUGUGUGAAAGGCAUCAAGCUUCCAUGCGAUGGAUGGCUUUUGCAAACCCGACAUGCGGCGAUGUGUACCAUAUAACUGGAAUUAACCCAUGCAAGUCGAAGAAGGAUUGGCCGGUGCUGCCGGCUGGCGUCAAGUUCGAUCCCACGGAUCAGGAGCGGAUCGAGCACCUUGAGGCCAAAGUGAGUGCUGACAGCGCGAGAUCUCACCCUCUCAUCGAUUUGUUCAUACCAACCAUCGACAGCGAGCAUGGCAUAUGCUACACCCAUCCUGAGAAAUUUCCAGACCUGCUCAAUUCCAGGGCAUUCAAAAGGGGCAUGUGGACGCGUCGCAAGAUACAGUCGGAGUGCGGCAUGCACGCGAUGUGGCACAACACUGGCAAUACCUUGCCGGUGAUGGUCAACGGCCGGCAGACGGGCAUCAAAAAGGUUCUGGUGCUGCACAUCAACAAGAACUUCGACCAGCAGAGGACCAACUGGGUGAUGCACCAGUACCACCUCGGGGACCUGGAGCAAGAGAAGGAGCGGGAGCUGGUCCUCUACAAGAUUUUCUACCAGACGAACACUAGGGCCAGGAGUAAAAAGAUAAUAAGUUAG
rnacentral:rRNA from 1 species